rnacentral:rRNA from 1 species
UCCGAAGGACUACCGGCGGAGAAGGCGCCCCCAUGGACAGAUACUGACACUCAGAUGUGAAAGCGUGGGGAGCAAACAGGAUUAGAUACCGUGGUAGUCCACGCCGUAAACGAUGUCUACUUGGAGGUUGCGGCCUUGAGCCGUGGCUUUCGGAGCUAACGCGUUAAGUAGACCGCCUGGGGAGUACGGUCGCAAGAUUAAAACUCAAAUGAAUUGACGGGGGCCCGCACAAGCGGUGGAGCAUGUGGUUUAAUUCGAUGCAACGCGAAGAACCUUACCUACUCUUGACAUCCAGAGAACUUUCCAGAGAUGGAUUGGUGCCUUCGGGAACUCUGAGACAGGUGCUGCAUGGCUGUCGUCAGCUCGUGUUGUGAAAUGUUGGGUUAAGUCCCGCAACGAGCGCAACCCUUAUCCUUGUUUGCCAGCACUUCGGGUGGGAACUCCAGGGAGACUGCCGGUGAUAAACCGGAGGAAGGUGGGGACGACGUCAAGUCAUCAUGGCCCUUACGAGUAGGGCUACACACGUGCUACAAUGGCGCAUACAGAGGGCAGCCAACUUGCGAGAGUGAGCGAAUCCCAAAAAGUGCGUCGUAGUCCGGAUCGGAGUCUGCAACUCGACUCCGUGAAGUCGGAAUCGCUAGUAAUCGUGGAUCAGAAUGCCACGGUGAAUACGUUCCCGGGCCUUGUACACACCGCCCGUCACACCA